UGACGAGUGGCGGACGGGUGAGUAAUGUCUGGGAAACUGCCUGAUGGAGGGGGAUAACUACUGGAAACGGUGGCUAAUACCGCAUAACGUCGCAAGACCAAAGAGGGGGACCUUCGGGCCUCUUGCCAUCAGAUGUGCCCAGAUGGGAUUAGCUAGUUGGUGAGGUAACGGCUCACCAAGGCGACGAUCCCUAGCUGGUCUGAGAGGAUGACCAGCCACACUGGAACUGAGACACGGUCCAGACUCCUACGGGAGGCAGCAGUGGGGAAUAUUGCACAAUGGGCGCAAGCCUGAUGCAGCCAUGCCGCGUGUAUGAAGAAGGCCUUCGGGUUGUAAAGUACUUUCAGCGGGGAGGAAGGUGUUGUGGUUAAUAACCGCAGCAAUUGACGUUACCCGCAGAAGAAGCACCGGCUAACUCCGUGCCAGCAGCCGCGGUAAUACGGAGGGUGCAAGCGUUAAUCGGAAUUACUGGGCGUAAAGCGCACGCAGGCGGUCUGUCAAGUCGGAUGUGAAAUCCCCGGGCUCAACCUGGGAACUGCAUUCGAAACUGGCAGGCUUGAGUCUUGUAGAGGGGGGUAGAAUUCCAGGUGUAGCGGUGAAAUGCGUAGAGAUCUGGAGGAAUACCGGUGGCGAAGGCGGCCCCCUGGACAAAGACUGACGCUCAGGUGCGAAAGCGUGGGGAGCAAACAGGAUUAGAUACCCUGGUAGUCCACGCCGUAAACGAUGUCUACUUGGAGGUUGUGCCCUUGAGGCGUGGCUUCCGGAGCUAACGCGUUAAGUAGACCGCCUGGGGAGUACGGCCGCAAGGUUAAAACUCAAAUGAAUUGACGGGGGCCCGCACAAGCGGUGGAGCAUGUGGUUUAAUUCGAUGCAACGCGAAGAACCUUACCUGGUCUUGACAUCCACAGAACUUUCCAGAGAUGGAUUGGUGCCUUCGGGAACUGUGAGACAGGUGCUGCAUGGCUGUCGUCAGCUCGUGUUGUGAAAUGUUGGGUUAAGUCCCGCAACGAGCGCAACCCUUAUCCUUUGUUGCCAGCGGUUAGGCCGGGAACUCAAAGGAGACUGCCAGUGAUAAACUGGAGGAAGGUGGGGAUGACGUCAAGUCAUCAUGGCCCUUACGACCAGGGCUACACACGUGCUACAAUGGCGCAUACAAAGAGAAGCGACCUCGCGAGAGCAAGCGGACCUCAUAAAGUGCGUCGUAGUCCGGAUUGGAGUCUGCAACUCGACUCCAUGAAGUCGGAAUCGCUAGUAAUCGUGGAUCAGAAUGCCACGGUGAAUACGUUCCCGGGCCUUGUACACACCGCCCGUCACACCAUGGGAGUGGGUUGCAAAAGAAGUAGGUAGCUUAACCUUCGGGAGGGCGCUUACCACUUUGUGAUUCAUGACUGGGGUGAAGUCGUAACAAGGUAACCGUAGGGGAACCUGCGGUUGGAUCACCUCCUUACCUUAAAGAAGC
rnacentral:rRNA from 1 species